UACGGAGGGUGCAAGCGUUAUCCGGAUUUACUGGGUUUAAAGGGUGCGUAGGUGGGCAGGUAAGUCAGUGGUGAAAUCUUCAAGCUUAACUUGGAAACUGCCAUUGAUACUAUUUGUCUUGAAUACUGUGGAGGUCAGCGGAAUAUGUCAUGUAGCGGUGAAAUGCUUAGAUAUGACAUAGAACACCAAUUGCGAAGGCAGCUGGCUACACAAAUAUUGACACUGAGGCACGAAAGCGUGGGGAUCAAACAGG
rnacentral:rRNA from 1 species